CUCGACUACAUUAGCUCGUUGGAUUAAGAAUCUUCUAUCCGCUGCAGGAAUCGAUACUUAAAUAUUUUCGGCUCAUUCGGUCAGAGGCGCCAUGGCGUCUAAGGCCUCCACGAUGGGAUGUCGUCUGGAUGAUAUCUUGAAGGCAGCGGAUUGGUCUAGGGAAUCUACGUUCCGUGACUUUUAUUUCCGCCCGAUUGACCAUGUUUCUUUGUUAGUUGUGGCUCAGCUUUAAACUGG